CCUACGGGGGGCUGCAGUGGGGAAUAUUGCACAAUGGGCGCAAGCCUGAUGCAGCCAUGCCGCGUGUGUGAAGAAGGCCUUCGGGUUGUAAAGCACUUUCAGCGGGGAGGAAGGCGUUAAGGUUAAUAACCUUGGCGAUUGACGUUACCCGCAGAAGAAGCACCGGCUAACUCCGUGCCAGCAGCCGCGGUAAUACGGAGGGUGCAAGCGUUAAUCGGAAUUACUGGGCGUAAAGCGCACGCAGGCGGUCUGUCAAGUCGGAUGUGAAAUCCCCGGGCUCAACCUGGGAACUGCAUUCGAAACUGGCAGGCUAGAGUCUUGUAGAGGGGGGUAGAAUUCCAGGUGUAGCGGUGAAAUGCGUAGAGAUCUGGAGGAAUACCGGUGGCGAAGGCGGCCCCCUGGACAAAGACUGACGCUCAGGUGCGAAAGCGUGGGGAGCAAACAGGAUUAGAUACCCGGGAGUC
rnacentral:rRNA from 1 species